rnacentral:rRNA from 1 species
ACGCUCGACACCUACGGGAGGUAGCAGUGAGGGAUAUUGGUCAAUGGGGGAAACCCUGAACCAGCAACGCCGCGUGAGGGAUGACGGUCUUCGGAUUGUAAACCUCUGUCCUCUGUGAAGAUAAUGACGGUAGCAGAGGAGGAAGCUCCGGCUAAAUACGUGUCAGCAGCCGCGGUAAUCUGAGCGGGCUGGCAAGGC